ACCAAGUUUUCGACAGUAACCAGUUACAAAUAUCAGUGUAUUAGCUAGCGAGUUCUUCAAGGAAAAGUUGGCUGGACAGAUGGACCUAGUACCAGUGAACCCGGCUGAGCCUCACGUGACCGCGAUUGGACAAUUUGCAGUGGAUGAGGAAAACAAGAAGCGGCCGACUAAUAAGCUGAAUUUUGUCGCCGUGGUUGGCGGAUACCAUGGGCCCGUUACUGGAGCCACUCGCUACCCACUCAUCCUUGGAACUCAGGAUGGUAAAGGCCACACAUUUCUGCACAAAGCACUUGUCCAUGAGAAACCAGAUGGAAGCUUGGAACUCAAAGGGUACUGGGAGUAAUCAAGCGCUACCCUUGAUCAUCAACUGAGGAUCAACGACUUCAAGUACUUUAAUUAUCUAGUGUCUAUAUAUGGUGUGGUUUUCAGUUUAUGCAUGCAUGGAUGAUGUACAGCUGCCAUGCAUACAUCUUCCCACUGUUUUAUUAGUAUGUUGAAUAAGGUGCACUUGUACCAACAAAAAUGCACCAUUCCGUCUCUGUUUGAGUUUGUGUCUGUGUCUUUUGUGUCUGUGUUUGUAUCCUUGUACUGGUAUGUUAAAUAAAUAAAAACAGUCGUGAGUUUGAGUUUGUAUC